rnacentral:rRNA from 1 species
UGGGGGAUAUUGCACAAUGGGCGCAAGCCUGAUGCAGCGACGCCGCGUGAGGGAAGACGGUCCUCUGGAUUGUAAACCUCUGUCUUAGGGGAAGAAUACUGACGGUACCCUAAGAGGAAGCCACGGCUAACUACGUGCCAGCAGCCGCGGUAAUACGUAGGUGGCAAGCGUUGUCCGGAAUUACUGGGUGUAAAGGGAGCGUAGGCGGGAAUGCAAGUCAAGUGUUAAAUCGAUCGGCUCAACCGGUCAUCGCGCUUGAAACUGCGUUUCUUGAGUGGAGUAGAGGCAGGCGGAAUUCCUAGUGUAGCGGUGAAAUGCGUAGAUAUUAGGAGGAACACCAGUGGCGAAGGCGGCCUGCUGGGCUUUUACUGACGCUGAGGCUCGAAAGUGUGGGGAGCAAACA